rnacentral:lncRNA from 1 species
UCCAGAGCAUUAGCAAUUUUUUAUUUUUCCUUUUUUGUUGCAUAGGAAAUGCAGUACUUGCUUCCAGUAAUUGUAUCGUAAUGUGAGAAGGUGGUAGCACUAAUGGUUGAAUACAAGAGUUAAACUAAUCCACACCAGCUCAAAAAACCUGUGGAGAUUUAGUUGAAUAAGAAUGGACGCCCACAGUGAUUCUCAACCAAUUACAAAUUUUCACAGAACACAGUAAAACUAAAAGGGUAGCUAUGAGAGUCAAUACAAGUAUACUAGAGGCACAGGGGGCCCGGCUCAUAAAAACAAAUGUCAAACCAAGUUAUUAACACGGGGGGGUGUUUAGUUUCACAACAGAUCUCUUUUCAUCUCUGGAAGUGUUCGGUGCCCUCCCCCCGCAAUUUGAAAUGAAAAACCCGAGGUAUCUUGAAUGGGCAGAUUUCCAAGGGUGGUGGGAAAGGUCCCCAGGGAACCUUGUUCUGCGUAACAGGUCAGAGGUGUAGGGAAGGGGGAUCAUGUAUUUGACUUGGAGAGUCUCUCGUGAGGACCUCCUAGGACCCGACAAAGCUCCAGCUCUUGGUCUAGUAAGUAUCUCAGGAUAACACUACCAAAUGCCUUCACAGUGCAGACAGGCUGGUCUGAGACCAGGGAGAAAAAAAUGAACCUGGCAGGUCUCUCAAACCUCCAUCCCCACAUAGCCAGUGGCCUGGUGACCUUCGGUUGGGAUGUUAAAAAAAAAAAAAAAAAGAAGUGCUGAUGUAUAUGUAUGAGUACUACUAAAAAUAUAAAUUAAAAAAAAUUUAAAAAUGGAAAAAUAAGAAUAACGCAAACAGAAUCAAAGGUGGGAGAGCUACUGUCAUUUUGAGAAGUGGAGCAUAAAGAACAGCAGGAAAAACAGCCCAAUUCCUGGGACACCUUUUGUCCUUAAAACACUGUGGAGAUUUAAGAGUUCACAUUGCGUGACCUGGUGAGUGUUUUCUACCAUGAAGGUGCUCUGGUUGGAUUAGAGGUGGCACUUCCAUCACAUAUUCCUGCAGCCCAGACACAUUUUGGAAAUUGUGUUUGUUGAGUGAAAUCGCAUAAGGAGUCCACAUGUGAAACUUGUGAUGCCUGGCACCCAGGCGAGGUCCUGCCCCCCACACUGCCGCCUCCCGGUUCUGGUGGCCUCGACUGCAGGCGGUCCCCUGUUGUUCUGAGCAUCUCUGGUACCUACUCCCCAUCUCCCCGUUCUCCUCAUCUGGUUAUGUAACCCUUUGGGGGCACAAAAGGCAGAUGGGUGCUGGUUUAGGGGGAAAAAAAAGUGAGAUGAAACUGAUUUAAUUUGGGAAGCAAGUAGUUUCAAAUUUAGACCAAAAAAAAGUAUAUUUAAAAAAAAAUCCCGUGUUAAUAGCAAACUCCUUUUUCUUAUGAAUCGGGCCCAAAGUUUGUACAGAGUUUUAUUUUUGAAGAAAAUAUUGCAACUGUGCAUGAAACUAAAUAGCCAUGUGAUUUCUUAAAGAUUUUUUCUUUUUUUCUUUUUUUCUUUUAAUAUGAGGAAGUCUGGUGUGAAGACGGAUCAAGCAUGGGUACCUGGCUGAACAUUGUCCAUUAAGAAAACGCUUCAGGGUCAGCAUAGCUUCGGUCGAGAGUCAAGGAAAAACGUCCCUCGCUUGGAAAUGUUCUCAGAGUUUCUUCGUAGCACAGUUCUCGAAAUACAAAUGGUCAUUUUGAGACAAAAGUCUUGCCAGGGACUGAUUUCUGAAAUCAACCACCCAUGCUUGUCCCCUAGGAAAAGGAAAACAAAAAAACGAAAACGAAAACAAAAACACAGUAAUACUGAAUUUAAGUAAAUGUAUACCUCCAAAAUACUGAAAACAGCCGAAAUCAAGAAAGAAUUUGCGUUCUCAGUGAAAUACCUUUAAACCUAGCUGACAAGAACCAAGUCAGAAAAAAAGACUAACAUAACUUUGAGUAAUAUUCAUACAGUUCACUAAGCAUUAUGGAAUAGCAUGCAUUAAUAUUGUACGGUUAUUUUACAUCACCUAUACCAGAAGAUCCUGACUGACAGACAGCGAAGGCUACCGGUGUAGAAAAAUCUUACUUCAGAAGAGCAAUAUAAUACAGAUUUCACAGGCACUACAUUUUAAUAUAUCAGGUAUUAUGCUGGUUUUCUUAUAAUUCUUUCUGUCCUAAAGCUGGCAUUAUAACAAUGACCAAAAAGGCAAGGAUUGAAGUAAACGGAAAGUAGAUACCAAAGUUGAUAUAGUUUUUUUUUUUCUUCAGAUAGAUUAGUGCAUAGUUCUCAUGCAGAUAAACACUGCUAUGCAUUUACACUGUUGGAAAGCAGAGUGAAUUGAGCCCAAGUUGUCACAUUGGUGUAAAUCAUUUUGUCAGCCUGUAAUAGCACCAUGUAAUGGAUUUGCAUUAAACAUUAAAUUGAUUUCAGAAUUGGUGACACAGUAUUCACUACAGUUAAGUGCUAUGGAACAGCUUCAAUGUUACCUGCUAUCUAUCAAAGCAAUUUUCAUCCCACUGCUUUUUUAUUGGAAAAAAUAAAAGGAAAACAUACACGACACUAAUUAGGCAAAUGCACAGCCUUGGACGUGGAGAAGGCAGAGCGGGUUUACUGUCAAACAGUAAAUACAUGCAUUGACUUCAGGACAAAAUUGACCUUGGAAGCCGAUUUGAACGAAAGCUCUGCCGGUGGGCAGUGCAGCUUUCUGAGACUGUCCUGGGACAGGUCUCCGGGGGUGGGUGGUGAGGUGCCACUGAAGCUCUCCUUACACUACCAUGCCAGUUGUGUUUUAAAUUUGUUCUAUGGAGGCCUGCUACCGGGAAAAAAAGAACAAAACACUUAAAGAAAUAAAAAAGAAAGAAAGAAAAAAGAAAAGAAAGAAAGAAAGAAAGAAAGAAAGAAAGAAAGAAAGAAAGAAAGAAAGAAAGAGAAAGAAAGAAAGAAAGAAAAGAAAGAAAGAGACAGAGAGACGACCACCACUAUGGACAAAAAGAUAUUUCCAGAGACAUGAUGCCAAGUACAUUAAAUGACAUUCCUAGAAAUUCCUCCCCCCCCAAAAAAAAAUCACAAGUAAAAAAAAUGUUUUUCUUAAUCCAGAUUUCAUAAAUUACAACAGAAUUCAAAGUUUAUGGGGAUAAGGGUUUGAAAAGUAAAAGACGAACUUUUUGAGAUGGGUUUUGCAUAUUCCUGUGGGCUGACUGAACACCGUGACUCUGGAAAAUGUGGGUUCCCUUACACUUCGACUGUCAGAGAAUGAAGAAUGCAAGCGUGGGGAGGUGUACCUGCUGGCCGGAGGGGGAAGGGCGCCCACGCCCGACUCUGGGUGGAGGGGAGAGUGGGGAGGGUCUGACACCAAUACCCGCCAGGCCAGGGAGUGAAGAGACAGAAAAGUUUGCUCAGAGGAAAGUAAAAGGCUCUGGGAUGGAGAGAGUGGCAUUAGCGGGAGGGCCUCUGCCCAUGAAUGAUCAGAAAAGGAGCAUUUUGGUGGCAGGGGAGUGGAUCAGGGUGAAAAAAAGAAAAAGCAUACAGAAAAAUGAUCAGAUUUAGUGUUUGUGCCUCUGACUUCAGUUCCCAAAGAAAAAACACGGAGAGGGAUUUGGGGGACUUCUCUUUGCUGAUAUUGUCAAUGCCAUUUGACGGGAGAGAAAAAAUUCAAAUGUGUCUCGGAAUCAAGGGCGGGGCCUUGGAAGUUGGGCCAGCCCUCAGCCUGUCAGUCUACACACCCCAGGUAGCAAAGUCUUCCUCAAACAUCUUCGCUUGGCUUUCAUCUAAAAAGGUAAACACUCGGAUUGUUGGUGUUUCUUUUUUCCUGCUUGAUCACAACUGAACUACAGUUUCCUGCUGCUUUCUGGACAAUGAAACAUUAACAAAAAUGUAACUUAGUGUAUUUAAUACUUGACCCCUGUUCGUUAUCACCCUAGACUGCCUCCUUAAUGUUUUAAAGCCUUUAAAACAUUUUUUUUCCUGCAAAUCUUGUUCAGAGUUCCCUAAUUUUAGCUUCAUCAAACUUAAUACAACAAAAUACCUUCAAAAAUACAGCAUACCUGUAACGUCCAUUUACAAUGGUUUUUCAGUAGACCUAUACUUCACAAGCAUAGGAAUAUGCUAUACCAUUGAGAGAAAAAAUAACUGUAUUUAAAUACUUACAAAAAAAAAAAAAAAGGAAACAGGAAAGUUUUAAACUUAAAUCCAGUUCCCAAAGGGGGGUGGGGGCAGGAAAGAAAGAAAAGCAAUUCUAUGAACGCUGCCUUUAUAAUGGACAAUCAGAAAUUUCACUAGGCUAAUUUGACAGAAAUUUUUCCUCAUUUAAACAACAUUACAAAAGUCCUGCAUUAUAAAAUAGGGUAGAAUAAAUCAGUGUAAUCAAUAAAACUAUACAACAAUACAAAUUACAUAU